rnacentral:rRNA from 1 species
GGCCUAUACAGGUGUUGCAUGGCUGUCGUCAGCUCGUGUCGUGAGAUGUUCGGUUAAGUCCGCUAACGAGCGCAACCCUCGUCGUAUGUUAUAUGUGUCAUACGAGACUGCCGGUAAAAAGCCGGAGGAAGGUGAGGAUGAUGUCAAGUCAGCAUGACCUUUAUAUCCAGGGCUACACACACGCUACAAUGGUCUGUACAAUGGGUAGCCAAGCCGCGAGGCGGAGCCAAUCCUGAAAGCAGGCCUCAGUUCAGAUUGCAGUCUGCAACUCGACUGCAUGAAGCCGGAGUUGCUAGUAACCGCAGGUCAGCAAUACUGCGGUGAAUACGUUCCCGGGUCUU